rnacentral:rRNA from 1 species
GUGGGGAAUAUUGGACAAUGGGCGCAAGCCUGAUCCAGCCAUGCCGCGUGAGUGAUGAUGCCCUAGGGUUGUAAAGCUCUUUCACCGGUGAAGAUAAUGACGGUAACCGGAGAAGAAGCCCCGGCUAACUUCGUGCCAGCAGCCGCGGUAAUACGAAGGGGGCUAGCGUUGUUCGGAAUUACUGGGCGUAAAGCGCACGUAGGCGGACUAUUAAGUCAGGGGUGAAAUCCCGGGGCUCAACCCCGGAACUGCCUUUGAUACUGGUCGUCUCGAGUAUGGUAGAGGUGAGUGGAAUUCCGAGUGUAGAGGUGAAAUUCGUAGAUAUUCGGAGGAACACCAGUGGCGAAGGCGGCUCACUGGACCAUUACUGACGCUGAGGUGCGAAAGCGUGGGGAGCAAACAGGAUUAGAUACCCCGGUAGUCC